rnacentral:rRNA from 1 species
AGUGAAGCGGGCAAAAGCUCAAAUUUGAAAUCCUUUCGGGAGUUGUAAUUUGUAGGUUGGGAGACCCCGCGGCUAGUGGCACCAAGUCCCUUGGAACAGGGCGCCUUAGAGGGUGAGAGCCCCGUAGGUACCACAACACCGUCUUGUGUCUCCUCUCCAAAGAGUCGAGUUGUUUGGGAAUGCAGCUCAAAGUGGGUGGUAAAUUCCAUCUAAAGCUAAAUACCGGCGAGAGACCGAUAGCGAACAAGUACAGUGAUGGAAAGAUGAAAAGCACUUUGAAAAGAGAGUGAAACAGUACGUGAAAUUGUUGAAAGGGAAGGGCUUGCAAGCAGACACGGCCUUCGUGCCGGGCCAGCAUCUGUUGCUAGGGGUGGAUAAGGAACAAGGAAUGUAGCUCCUCGGAGUAUUAUAGCCUUGCGCGAUACACCCACUGGCGACCGAGGCCUGCGGUAUUCUUUACCUAGGAUGCUGGCGUAAUGGUUGCAAGCCG